CAGAAACUUCUGAGACAUAGCAUUCAUGAUGAAAACUAGGAUGUUCACUGGUAAGCCAAAUUUGCCUCGGGAUCCAUCCCAGUUGGUAUUCUGUGUCCACUCGUGGUGAGCAGUCCAUCAAGUUCUGGUGUCAGAAGAGGAAGAGGAAUGUCAGGUUGAACAGACGACCUGACGAACCCGCCACGAUUGUUGCCUCUGCCUGUCGGAGGUGGAGUUCCAGAGCUCAUAGGUGUACCUGACAUGGAUUGUGACUCCAUCAUCUCGUCCCUCGCCCUCGUCAACGCGUCAUUCUCCACCUGACUCUCUGCUAAUGCCGCCUGACUCUCCGUAUCGCCCGUAGCUCUGGAAUGUGUAGCACUAUAGAAAGAAGCUGGCUUGCUGAAAACUAUGUCCAUUCCAUCUGUUCUCUUUGGUCUCAAUGGAAAAAUUUGGAGAUAAGCUGAUACUUUUUUUUAAUGGUAACUGUUAAGGGCGGAGUUAAGGGUGGGGUGAAGGAGUACUGGAAAGGUGUGACUCCAGGUUACAGUAGGCCAUAAGUAUACAGCAGACCUCCCACGUCCUCACUUUGAUUAAGCUGUAGCACAUACUGUAGCUAUGAUGAUGAGCGAUCUCUCUCAAAUGCAGACAAUGACCCAAAACCCACUGCCGCCUAGGUUUGCAUUGCAAAUGAGGGCAUAAACUGGGUCAAGACUCCAGCAGAGUAAGUAAACCUACAACAGCACAUUACUCAACACUAGUGGGACUCACCUCAGCUAGAGUACAUCUAGAAAUAUUGUUUUCAUCUUUAGAUGUAGGUCUCCUGAUUUUAAACCCGAUCAAACUUGUUUGGCAUCAACUGAAAACAUUCAUCCGUAACGCUGCCAAGCCUACAAACAAGUAUUCAAAAACAUAAAGAUGUUGAUGAACAAAUACUGUAAAUCAGUCUUUCUUUUGGAAAUAUAUAAAUCAUUACCUAUUAUAAGGUUGUUUUGAUUAUUAUUUGGAUUAUAAUAAAUUGACAUAUUUGUAAGUGGUUGAUGCAUUUUUCUUUAGGGCAAAGCAGGUCUGUGAUAUUAAUAACUUUAGUCUUGUAUCAGAUUAACUGUUGUGUCCUCACAUUUGAUGUGAUAAUUGCCCCAUAAUCUCCAAAGUGUUCUUCGAUAUAUAUCAUUCAUUCGUUCAAGCAUUUUAUUUAUAUUAAACAAACUAACAAAGGGAGCCUUGAAUAAUUAAACAAUAAAUGAACUGCAACAUGUGAGUCUCGUGUUCAUACUGUAUUUCACAUCCUCUGCGAGCGUUUGGAGUUGCCUAUAGUGUACGGGGUUUAGCAAAAUAAUAGGCUUACUCUUUAUUUAUGCUACAUUAUUCCAUAGCCUAAUUGUAGUCUAACCAAUAUCCUAACGGAGAUUCAGUGAAAAGCAAAAUCUGACAUUGACAUCAAGGGUGGAUGGCUUCUUUUGUAUUCCAAUUUAUUGUCAUGCUGCUAAACCAUUUCCACCUGGCCCACAGCGUUGUAGCGUACUUACAGUACACCACACUUUCACUCCACUCUCCACCAGCUUCUUUCUAUUGUUGUUAUCUAUUCCGGAACAUUAGUAAUGUUCACAAGUAAAUGUGAUAAAUAAAACAAAAUCAAUUAAAUAGCUCAGGUCUUGAAAAGUUGUAUUUGAUCUGUGCCUUGUAGCUGAGGCCAUAUGACUGAGCCAUCAACUUGUUUAUUUAGCACACAUCACUUGCGGCUUAUAUUCAGCCAACACACAUAUUUUAAGAAUGUCAUGGAAUAUAACUGAACAUUUUCAUUUCACAUAGAAUAAAUACCUUAGAAAUGGGGGGAAAUAGAAAUGUUUUUUUCAUCCAGUCAGAUAAACACCCCAAACAGCUUACCUUACCGCUCUGAAGCUUUCGCAAGGUCCUAAAGCACAACGUUGCCUCGUUUUGUAUUACAUUCCAAUUAUAAAACUAGGGGGGGGACAAAAAUGCAAUUACAGAAUGUAAUUGGCCCUAUGGACCUAUCUGUGGUCAAAAGUAAGCACUAUGUUCGACUUAUGUAGACACGCCCACUUGACCCAGUUCCAUUCAAGCGCUGUUUUUUUUUCUCCGUUUCACAACAUCCGUCAACGCUAGCGAAUUACAUCGAACGUGCAUCAUUAACGAAUAAACAAAAACAAAACACGGCUCACAUUUGGGAACAAACACAAACGGCUUCACCAGGAGGAGGGAAAAGGAUUGGUAUUUUUGAAGGCCGAUGUUCAGCCCAGCUAAUCAAGCAGCUCUUAUCACUCUGCUUGCGUACUUGUAUCCAACAACGGAUCCGUAGAGACGGCUGGAUGCGCUUGCAUCGCUGGACUUGGAAAGUCACGCAGCCUAAAUUUUGUGGAAGAACUGCUGUAUCAUUGUGGGGAAUCUGUCAAGUAUCCUGUCAAAUCUCACGUUGCUGAAGCUUUAUCCAGGUGAGUAGGGUAUAUAAUGUAUUUUAACAUGUCAGCAUCACAUGCAUUUCUUUGGUGUUAUUAGUGUCUUUAGUGUUAUUGUUUUUCUGGGUGAAUAAGGUUCGUAAAAUAUCCUUGUGGUUGGGGGUAACGCCUAAAGUAUGGUAAGUAUAAGUUAUCUCAUCUCAUUGGGAACAAUGGCAAGGUAAGUUUAUAAUAAAACUUGCAUGUGUUUUGGAAAGUUGAUCGCAUAGUCCUCACCUAUUCCUUAGUCACACACUUGUUAAUAAUGGGAUCUUCUCAUUUUCUCUGAAUGUCUUUUUUUGUAACAAACAUUCUAUCACAGGUGCAGAAUGCAGUGUCCAGUGGGCUAACUGGCAUAGCCUGCACAGAUGAGCAGCGACAAUGGAAUGCAGGGACUCGGAUGAACCUUGAGCCAAAGCGGUUAAACGGCAUUGACUUCACACACCAUAAGGCCAGUGACCAAUAUGCAGAAAAGCAUCCAGAAUGUCCACCCCUGGUUCCCACUCCUGCAUUCCACUCACAGGAGGAAUUGAAUAGGAGCCUGAGACACCUGAAUCUGCCUGUGGGGAGUCUGCUCUAUCAGUCUGUUAAUGCUGAACCGACAGUAAUAUCACAGCCAGUAGCAUCCCAGCCACAUGGAGAGCAUGUCAAUUACAACUGCCAGAAGUCCCUGUCCUUCUACAAUGUGAAACCUGACACAACCCAGUGAUGCUUGACACAACCCAGUCGACUGCUUUGGAACAGAUGACAAAGGAGCAGAGUGCCUCACACUUGCGACAUAACUCAAGGAAUCUUUGAGUUACUGCACGCUCAACCAAGAAGGUCCCUAUCAGGGAAUCCACCAACCCUGGUAAGUUUCUCCAGGAGCAUCUGUAUCCCAGGGCCCGAGGGAAUGCAGCCACGCACUACGGGAAAGAUAAUGAGCUGAUGGCCACCCAGUGACUGGGAGACUGUGGAUACUCUGUGGACCACAGAGGCACUGUUGUCAGUGUUGAAGAGCCAUGGCUAUCAGCAAGCCCUGACGGAGUGCUGAACUCCAAGGAGCUGUUGGAGAUCAAGUGUCCUGUCAUGGGGAAGGGCUGUGAUUCUCUGGAUGAUGUCUUCAAUGGGAAAGCCUGUGAUGUGAAGGUGGUGGAGGGCACACCCCGACUGCAACUACAUGCAGGUGCAAAUUGGUAUAUUUUACACAGGACUGAGAGAAAGUAAGGUCUGGCCUCCGUUCCUGCAAGUUGUCAUCCCUGUUCCCUAUGAUGCACAGUUCUAUGCAGAGGCUGUCCUGAGGUUGAAGGCAUUCUACUCAACACAAAUGCUGCCAUUUAUUGUUGAGGAGCAUCAGGCAGGCAGAUUGUCACUGAGUGACAAAUAUAUGCAGCUCUGUAGAUGUAUGUAGUCAGAUGUCUCUCCUGUUUGCAGUUACUAUUAACCCAUUGUUUUUCAAUUAAAGAGCCUGACCUAA